GGCCGUUGUAAUUCUGCCGGCUUUUAUAUCAUUUUUAUGCUCUUUGAGUCGCUGUCCUAGAGUUCUACGAGUCACGCCAAUAUACGAGGAGUUCUUAUUCUGGUUAUGGAACCUAAUGGGCAGCUUGUAUACCCCCGACUUCUCGGUGUUGUUUCUCAAGUCUUUUUCGUUGUGUAGUACAUUAAAUAGGGUCGGUAAUCUUCUAGUUGUAAUUUUUCGCUUGCUUUUUUUGGCUAGACUUUGUAUGACUCUCGACCUAGUCAUGGUGUAUGGUACUGGCAUGUAUUUGUUCCGGCUUGAUUUUAUUAUUUACUUGAUUUUACUUGAUUUUAUUAAUAUUUGUUCUUCGGGGUUGUGUGCACGGUGUUUCGAGUUGCCGUGGUG
rnacentral:lncRNA from 1 species